CAUUCGCGGUAGUACAGCAAGCCUGAUCCAGCCACGCCGCGUGAGUGAUGAAGGCCUUCGGGUUGUAAAGCUCUUUCAGUGGGGACGAUAAUGACGGUACCCAACCUACAAGCCGACGGACAACUCCGUGCCAUCCCCCCCCGGUAAUACAAUACACNCAGCAGCCGCGGUAAUACA
rnacentral:rRNA from 1 species